UACGUAGGGGGCAAGCGUUGUCCGGAUUUAUUGGGCGUAAAGAGCGUGUAGGCGGCCAGGUAGGUCAGCUGUGAAAACUCGAGGCUCAACCUCGAGACGUCGGUUGAAACCACCUGGCUAGAGUCCGGAAGAGGAGAGUGGAAUUCCUGGUGUAGCGGUGAAAUGCGCAGAUAUCAGGAGGAACACCGGUGGCGAAGGCGGGUCUCUGGGCCGAAAUUGACGCUGAGGAGCGAAAGCGUGGGGAGCAAACAGG
rnacentral:rRNA from 1 species